UCAUGGAAGCUCGAAUGGAGACUUCUUAUUGUAGAAGUCCCGCUGCUGGAGAAGCUCGAUCAUUGAGGAAGUCCGAAAGAAGUUCGGAGUAGAGAUCCUGCUGGUGGAGCCUGUUCGUUGUAGAAGUUCGUCUGUGAUCCAUCCACUAUAGAAGUUCGGAUGGAGUCUGGCUCUUGUAGGUGCUCGGAUGAAGUCCACCUGCAAUAGAAGUUCGGAGUAGAGGUUCGGUUGGUGGAGCCCGUCCGUUGUAGGAAUUCGUCUAGAAUCCAUCCAUUGUAGAAGUUUGGCUGGGAUCCGACUCUCGUAGGAGCUCGGAUGAAAUCCAAAAGGUGGUCGACC
rnacentral:lncRNA from 1 species